CCCUUAGAUGUUCUGGGCCGCACGCGCGCUACACUGACUACUUCAACGAGUUGUUUCCUUGAUCGAAAGGUCUGGGUAAUCUUUGAAAGGUAGUCGUGAUGGGGAUAGAUCCUUGCAAUUUUUGAUCUUCAACGAGGAAUUCCUAGUAAACGCAAGUCAUCAGCUUGCAUUGGUUACGUCCCUGCCCUUUGUACACACCGCCCGUCGCACCUACCGAUUGAAUGGUCCGGUGAAUCUUUAGGACUGUGGCUGAGGCCUUGCCUUGUGCGGGUCUGGCCGUGGGAAUUUAGUUAAACCUUACCAUUUAGAGGAAGGUGAAGUCGUAACA
rnacentral:rRNA from 1 species